rnacentral:rRNA from 1 species
UACCAGCACCCCGAGUGGUCGGGACGAUUAUUGGGCCUAAAGCAUCCGUAGCCGGUCAUGCAAGUCUUCCGUUAGAUCCAGCCGCUCAACGGUUGGGCUGCGGAGGAUACUACGUGGCUAGGAGGCGGGAGAGGCAAGCGGUACUCAGUGGGUAGGGGUAAAAUCCUUUGAUCCAUUGAAGACCACCAGUGGCGAAGGCGGCUUGCCAGAACGCGCUCGACGGUGAGGGAUGAAAGCUGGGGGAGCAAACCGG